GAUGAACGCUAGCGGCAGGCCUAAUACAUGCAAGUCGGACGGGAUUUGGGAGCUUGCUCCCAAUGAGAGUGGCGCACGGGUGCGUAACACGUAUGUAACCUACCUUUGUCAGGGGGAUAGCCUCUCGAAAGAGAGAUUAAGCCCGCAUAAAAUCACACUGUGGCAUCACAGAAUGAUCAAAUAUUUAUAGGACGAAGAUGGGCAUGCGGAACAUUAGCUAGUUGGCGGGGUAACGGCCCACCAAGGCUACGAUGUUUAGGGGAUCUGAGA
rnacentral:rRNA from 1 species